CGAACGCUGGCGGCGUGCCUAACACAUGCAAGUCAACUUGACUGAAGGAGCAAUCUGACAGUAGAGUGGCGCAAGGGUGCGUAACGCGUAAGUAACUUGCCCCAAGGUAAGGAAUAACGUCGAGAAAUCGGCGCUAAUACCUCAUAAUGCAGCGGAUCCACAUGGAUAUGUCGUUAAAGAUUUACCGCCUUGGGAUAGGCUUGCGUCUGAUUAGCUAGUUGGUGUGGUAACGGCACACCAAGGCUACGAUCAGUAACUGGUCUGAGAGGAUGAUCAGUCACACUGGAACUGAGACACGGUCCAGACUCCUACGGGAGGCAGCAGUGAGGAAUAUUGGGCAAUGCUCGAAAGAGUGACCCAGCAACGCCGCGUGGAGGAUGAAGGUAUUCUAUAUCGUAAACUCCUGUGAGAGCAGACGAGAGACAGAUUAUUAAUCUGGAUGACUGUAUGCUCAGAGGAAGCCCCGGCUAACUACGUG
rnacentral:rRNA from 1 species